GUGAGGAAUCUUGCGCAAUGGGCGAAAGCCUGACGCAGCGACGCCGCGUGGAGGAUGAAGGUCUUCGGAUCGUAAACUCCUGUCGAGCGGGACGAAACCCGGAGGCGUUAACAGCGCUUCCGGUUGACGGUACCGCUGGAGGAAGCCCCGGCUAACUCCGUGCCAGCAGCCGCGGUAAUACGGAGGGGGCCAGCGUUGUUCGGAAUUAUUGGGCGUAAAGGGCGUGUAGGCGGCCGCUCAAGUCGAACGUGAAAUCCCUCGGCUCAACCGGGGAACUGCGUCCGAUACUGUGCGGCUUGAGUCCCGGAGAGGGUAAUGGAAUUCCCGGUGUAGCGGUGAAAUGCGUAGAUACCGGGAGGAACACCGGUGGCGAAGGCGGUUACCUGGACGGCGACUGACGCUGAGGCGCGAAAGCCAGGGGAGCAAACAGGAUUAGAUACCCCAGUAGUCC
rnacentral:rRNA from 1 species